rnacentral:rRNA from 1 species
UACGGGGGGAGCAAGCGUUGUUCGGAUUUACUGGGCGUAAAGGGCGCGUAGGCGGCGCAACAAGUCAAUUGUGAAAUCUCCGGGCUUAACUCGGAAAGGUCAACUGAUACUGCGGGGCUAGAGUGCGGAAGGGGCAACUGGAAUUCUCGGUGUAGCGGUGAAAUGCGUAGAUAUCGAGAGGAACACCUGCGGCGAAGGCGGGUUGCUGGCCGACACUGACGCUGAGGCGCGAAAGCCAGGGAGCGAACGGG